UAAAAAAUUAAUUCUUUUAAACCGCACGGUUUAAUAGUGUGUAUACAUUAAAAAAAAUGUGGAUGUCCGGACCUAAUAUAUAUAUAUAUAUAUAUGUGACUAGGUGGCAGAUGGUGAAAAUAGAGAGAAUAGAGAAUUAAUGGACCAAAUUAAAGGAGAGGGGAAAACAAAAUCGAGGCACUAUCAAAAGGGUAAUAUUGCUCUAUCAAAAAUAGUGAUCGACACCCAUUAUAUAAAAUGAUUAAUUAAUGCAAAACCGACAGCGUGUAUAAUGAAAUCAAAAGCAGCUCGGCAUUGGCUUUUCGCCCUCGCUGUGAGGUUGCUUUUAGGGUCAUGCUACUUGUCGGUUGGACUGAAACAGACGUGAAAGUUUCAACUACAUUUAGGAAACGCAAAGCAAACCAAAUCCACUGGAGGAGACACUCCUUGUUCUUAAAGGAGAAUGGGUUCAUUGAAGAAGCGUGAUUUCUAAUCUACUUCUAAUCCACCGUUACCAAAUCACAUAUUAAGUUGCUUACUUCUUCAAUGGUUCAGGACGAGUUGAUCUGUAAUUAUGGGCACAGGUCGGUCAACGUGUAUUUGAUGCUUGGUUGCACCAGCUGACAGAAUGAACGUCUAUGCGAGUCCAUUCUGCGUACGUGUAUACCUCAUUGGGAGGUCCUCCCUCUCAACAUCUUCAAGACUAAUUUCAUGCAGCUGCAUUCAUGAUUCAUUCAACACGACCCAUGCCAUGCAUGUGCCAUUUCUUGGUGCGACGCAUAACGUGGAACUAGCUAGCCAAAGGACAAAUUCAGUCCUAAGCCAGCUUCCCCUCUUAACUGGAUAAGGCAUGUGCCGACAUUCUUCGAGUCGGCGCCUGUUGGCACGUGAAUCGUGAUCAUUUCUUUAACUGUGACAUUUAACGUCGUCAUGGGAUGAACAUGGAUUGAAGUCAAAAAAAGAAAAAAAAAGAAAAAGGAUUUAAAGAGGAUGGUUUGACUUCUAAUUCUUCGUUAGACUGUUUGCUGUCAUUAAUUGCACACUAGCUAGCGUGGGAAUGGACACACUUGAAUUUCCAAUUACUAAACUCGGUCGUUUUGUAUUAACGUAGGAUGCAUUUGCUAUAUUAUAUUGUAUCAUGUUAUAUUGUAUUAUUUUGAUACAAGUGUAUUAUAUUAAUAC
rnacentral:lncRNA from 1 species